rnacentral:lncRNA from 1 species
GUGUGUGUAGGAGCUGGGUUAUAGUUAUGUAGAGAUGAAUGCCAGCUGUCUCUGUGUGUGUGUGUAGGAGCUGGGUUAUAGUUAUGUAGAGAUGAAUGCCAGCUGUCUCUGUGUGUGUGUGUGUAGGAGCUGGGUUAUAGUUAUGUAGAGAUGAAUGCCAGCUGUCUCUGUGUGUGUAGGAGCUGGGUUAUAGUUAUGUAGAGAUGAAUGCCAGCUGUCUCUGUGUGUGUGUGUGAGCUGGGUUAUAGUUAUGUAGAGAUGAAUGCCAGCUCUGUCUCUGUGUGUGUGUGUAGGAGCUGGGUUAUAGUUAUGUAGAGAUGAAUGCCAGCUGUCUCUCUGUGUGUGUAGGAGCUGGGUUAUAGUUAUGUAGAGAUGAAUGCCAGCUGUCUCUGUGUGUGUGUGUGUAGGAGCUGGGUUAUAGUUAUGUAGAGAUGAAUGCCAGCUGUCUCUGUGUGUGUGUGUAGGAGCUGGGUUAUAGUUAUGUAGAGAUGAAUGCCAGCUGUCUCUGUGUGUGUGUGUGUAGGAGCUGGGUUAUAGUUAUGUAGAGAUGAAUGCCAGCUGUCUCUGUGUGUGUGUGUAGGAGCUGGGUUAUAGUUAUGUAGAGAUGAAUGCCAGCUGUCUCUGUGUGUGUGUGUAGGAGCUGGGUUAUAGUUAUGUAGAGAUGAAUGCCAGCUGUCUCUGUGUGUGUGUG